rnacentral:rRNA from 1 species
AAAUUUGAAAUCUGGCUCCCUUCGGGGGCCCGAGUUGUAAUUUGGAGAGGAUGCUUUGGGCGCGGCGCCUUCCGAGUUCCUUGGAACAGGACGCCAGAGAGGGUGAGAGCCCCGUACGGUUGGACGCCUAGCCCGUGCAAAGCUCCUUCGACGAGUCGAGUAGUUUGGGAAUGCUGCUCAAAAUGGGAGGUAAAUUUCUUCUAAAGCUAAAUACUGGCCAGAGACCGAUAGCGCACAAGUAGAGUGAUCGAAAGAUGAAAAGCACUUUGAAAAGAGGGUUAAACAGCACGUGAAAUUGUUGAAAGGGAAGCGCCUGUGGCCAGACUUGCUGCCCGCGGUUCACCUGGCGCCCCCGCGCCGGGGCACGCCGCGGGUGCGCAGGCCAGCAUCGGCUUCCCCAGGGGGACAAAGGCCGCGGGAACGUAGCUCCUCCGGGAGUGUUAUAGCCCGCGGUGCCAUGCCUCUGGGGGGGCCGAGGAACGCGCCCUUCGGGGCAAGGAUGCUGGCGUAAUGGCCACCAGCGACCCGUCUUGAAACACGGACCAAGGAGUCAAGCAUUGGGGCGAGUGUUUGGGUGUCAAACCCGCACGCGAAAUGAAAGUGAACGCAGGUGGGAGCCCCUCGCGGGCGCACCACCGACCGAUCCUGAUGUCCUCGGAUGGAUUUGAGUAGGAGCCUUACCGCUU